UACGUAGGGUGCGAGCGUUGUCCGGAAUUAUUGGGCGUAAAGAGCUCGUAGGCGGUCUGUCGCGUCGGUCGUGAAAACUUGGGGCUUAACCCUGAGCUUGCGGUCGAUACGGGCAUGACUGGAGUUCGGCAGGGGAGACUGGAAUUCCUGGUGUAGCGGUGAAAUGCGCAGAUAUCAGGAAGAACACCGGUGGCGAAGGCGGCCCUCUGGACAGAUACUGACGCUGAGACGCGAAAGCGUGGGGAGCAAACAGG
rnacentral:rRNA from 1 species